AACGAACGCUGGCGGCGCGCCUAACACAUGCAAGUCUCACGAGAAACCCUGUAGCAAUACAGGGCGGUAAAGUGGCGAACGGGUGAGUAAUGCGUGGGUAACCUACCUCCGAGAUGGGGGAUAACCCGCCGAAAGGCGGGCUAAUACCGAAUAAGACCACAUGCCGACAGGCACGGGGUAAAAGGUGGCCUAGGGUCCGCAAGGGCUAUGCUGCCGCUUGAAGAGGGCUCACGUCCCAUCAGCUUGUGGUAGGUAACGGCUUACCAAGGCAUGACGGUAGCUGGUCUGAGAGGACGACCAGCCACACUGGCACUGAGACACGGGCCAGACUCCUACGGAGGCAGCAGUGAGGAAUAUUGGGCAA
rnacentral:rRNA from 1 species